AGCAUCCUUUCUAUUAAACGUGCUUAAUUAUAAAUAACUGUUUUUCAUUUUUUUUAUUUUAUUUCAUAUAUGCUGAAUUUUUUUUAUGUAUAUUUUUUCUACUACAUUUCAUUGAUUUGUUUGUAUUUUUUCACUGUUUUAUUUAGCAGUUUUCGUAUGCAAUUUAUUUGCAUUCGGCUAGGCUACAUAUGUAUAAUGCACGUAUUGAUGGAUAGCUAUAUAUAUAUAUAUAUAUAUAUAUAUAUAUAUAUAUAUAUAUAUAUAUAUAUAUAUAUUUUUAGUAUAUAUACAGCUUGUGUUAUUUUUUAUAUUUUACAAUCAAGAAUGAAAUCAAAAAAGAAGAAAAAGAUAAAGUAUGCAAAAAAAAAAAAAAAAAAAUAUAUAUGUAAACUUAAUUAUAUAAUAAAAAAAUUAUUCAUCCAUAUGGUUAAUUUAUAGUUUUAUGUUUUUGUUUUUCUUAAAACAGUUUUAAGAAAGAUCUGUACUGUUUUAUUUAUUUCGAUUUUUUUUAAAUGUGUAGUAUUAGUUAUAUGUUUAUAUAUAUAUAUAUAUAUAUAUAUAUAUAUAUAUAUAUAUAUAUAUAUAUAUACAU
rnacentral:lncRNA from 1 species